rnacentral:rRNA from 1 species
UACGUAGGGGGCUAGCGUUGUCCGGAAUCAUUGGGCGUAAAGCGCGCGUAGGCGGCCAGAUAAGUCCGGUGUGAAAGUCACAGGCUCAACCUGUGAAUGCCGCUGGAAACUGUCUGGCUAGAGUCCGGAAGGGGCGAGUGGAAUUCCUGGUGUAGCGGUGAAAUGCGCAGAUAUCAGGAGGAACACCGGUGGCGAAGGCGGAUCUCUGGGCCUUACCUGACGCUCAGGUGCGAAAGCUAGGGGAGCAAACAGG